rnacentral:rRNA from 1 species
GACGAACGCUGGCGGCGUGCUUAACACAUGCCAGUCGAACGGAAAGGCCCUGCUUUUGUGGGGUGCUCGAGUGGCGAACGGGUGAGUAACACGUGAGUAACCUGCCCUUGACUUUGGGAUAACUUCAGGAAACUGGGGCUAAUACCGGAUAGGAGCUCCUGCUGCAUGGUGGGGGUUGGAAAGUUUCGGCGGUUGGGGAUGGACUCGCGGCUUAUCAGCUUGUUGGUGGGGUAGUGGAUUACCAAGGCUUGGACGGGUAGCCGGCCUGAGAGGGUGACCGGCCACAUUGGGACUGAGAUACGGCCCAGACUCCUACGGGAGGCAGCAGUGGGGAAUAUUGCACAAUGGGCGGAAGCCUGAUGCAGCAACGCCGCGUGCGGGAUGACGGCCUUCGGGUUGUAAACCGCUUUCGCCUGUGACGAAGCGUGAGUGACGGUAAUGGGUAAAGAAGCACCGGCUAACUACGUG